rnacentral:lncRNA from 1 species
GGCUUAGUUGGCUUGCCAUAGUUCCAAGGCGUAAAAGUAAGCCCUGCACGGCGUUUUGGACGGCGUUUUUUAAGUAUUACGCACGCUUUAAGCGCCGUCAGACCCAGGCGAAUUCUGACCCAUUUGGCUUGUCAUAAAGAACAGCGAGCUAGCACACGAGGGUGAUAUAUCCAAGAGUGCGCGCGCAGAUUCGUACAAGAGGAGAGUUAAACUGAGAGAGAGCAUGCUACAACCAGUGUCAACAGUUUGUUUGUAUAUAAAGAGAUGGAGAGCACUGCAUACAGUUUAACCAGUGACACCAGUGAGUAGAGACACAACAUUGGUAUGGUAUUUCUGUGUGAUUGCUUUGAUUUUAUUAAAUGGUUGCUGUGGUGUUGCUAACUGGUUUUACAGCUUCAUCCAGUGUCAACAGUGAGUCUUUAUUUACAGAAGUGACGAUCAGUAAAUCCACUGUUACCAGUGACACCACUUCACCCAUAGUCAAUAGUGAGUCUUCAUUUACAGAAGUGACGAGCAGUGAAUUCCUUGCUACCAGUGACAUCAGUAAGUAGAGACACAUCAUUGGUAUGGUGUUUCUGUGUGAUUGCUUUGAUUUUAUUAAAUGGUUGCUGUGGUGUUGCUAACUGGUUUCAUGAUUGAUGCUGUCUCACUCUCUCUCCAGCAGCUUCACCCAGUGACAACAGUGAGUCUUCAUUUACAGGAGUGACGAGCAGUGAAUCCACUGAUACCAGUGACACCACUUCACCCAGUGUCAACAGUGACUCUUCAUUUACAGGAGUGAUAAGCAGUGACUCCACUGUAACCAGUGACACCACUACAUCCAGUGUUAACAGUGUGCCUGCAUAUGAAGAAUCGGAGGGCAAUGCAGACAAUGCACCCAGUAACAUCACUCCAUCCAGUUUAACGAGUGAAUCUACAUUUACAGGAGUGAUGAACACUGUAUCCACUGUUACCAGUAACACCACUCCAUCCAGUGUCAACAGUAAGUCUACAUUUACAGGAGUGAAGAGCAGUGGAUCCACUGUUACCAGUGACAUCAAUACAUCCAGUGUCAACACUUCGUCUGCACCGAAAGAAGUGGAAACUACUGGAUCUGCUCUUACUAGUAAGACCACUUUAUCCAGUAUGUUAACAGGAGUGAAGAGCAGUGGUUCCACUGUUACCAGUAACACCAG